UAAUAAGUGUUUUAUGGCACUUUUUAAAUCCAUAUCCACCUUGUGUGCAAUGUCGGUCGAUCUUCUUUUUUGAGGAUCGACCAAACAUCAACCUUUAUUUUUUAACUCCUUGUCUGAAAAAUAUUAUGAAUAAACAAUUCAAAAUA
rnacentral:misc_RNA from 1 species